GACAGAGGUGCCAAGCGUUAGGCGGAAUCACUGGGCUUAAAGCGUGUGUAGGCGGACUUGUAAGUACCUUGUGAAAUCCCACGGCUCACCCGUGGAACUGCUGGGUGCACUGCGAGUCUUGAGCCACUUAGGGGCUGUCGGAACAGGCGGUGGAGCGGUGAAAUGCGUAGAUAUCGCCUGGAACGCCAAAGGUGAAAACAGACAGCUGGGAGUGUGCUGACGCUGAGACACGAAAGCCAGGGGAGCGAACGGG
rnacentral:rRNA from 1 species